rnacentral:rRNA from 1 species
GACGAACGCUGGCGGCGUGCCUAAUACAUGCAAGUUGAGCGCUGAAGGUUGGUACUUGUACCGACUGGAUGAGCAGCGAACGGGUGAGUAACGCGUGGGGAAUCUGCCUUUGAGCGGGGGACAACAUUUGGAAACGAAUGCUAAUACCGCAUAAAAACUUUAAACACAAGUUUUAAGUUUGAAAGAUGCAAUUGCAUCACUCAAAGAUGAUCCCGCGUUGUAUUAGCUAGUUGGUGAGGUAAAGGCUCACCAAGGCGAUGAUACAUAGCCGACCUGAGAGGGUGAUCGGCCACAUUGGGACUGAGACACGGCCCAAACUCCUACGGGAGGCAGCAGUAGGGAAUCUUCGGCAAUGGACGAAAGUCUGACCGAGCAACGCCGCGUGAGUGAAGAAGGUUUUCGGAUCGUAAAACUCUGUUGGUAGAGAAGAACGUUGGUGAGAGUGGAAAGCUCAUCAAGUGACGGUAACUACCCAGAAAGGGACGGCUAACUACGUGCCAGCAGCCGCAGUAAAAC